rnacentral:rRNA from 1 species
UCUCUCUGAAUCUGCGAACGGCUCCGCAAACCAGUUGUAAACUAUAGCAAGCCGGCCUUGUGCCUGCCUUCACGGGUGGGUGCUUGGCGAUAUGGAUAACCCUGGUAAUUCUGAGGCUAAUACAAGAACGUAAAACCUGGCUGACCGGGCAACUGGGAGGCUGGGGGACGUGCGAGUUGUGUCGCGAGAAUCUCUGGGGGUGGACGCACGUUCAGACCGCGCUAAAAAGGAAAGGUCCCCUUCACGGGGGGCCCGCCCCAGCGGCUCUUGCUUUGUGCUUCUGACCUAUCAACUAGAUGGCAGCGUAACGGACAUGCUAUGGUGACAACGGGUACAGAGGAUUAGGGUUUGAUCCUGGAGAGUGGGCCUGAGAGAUU